rnacentral:rRNA from 1 species
UUAGAGUUUGAUCCUGGCUCAAGACGAACGCUGGCGGCGUGCCUAAUACAUGCAAGUAGAACGCUGAAGAGAGGAGCUUGCUCUUCUUGGAUGAGUUGCGAACGGGUGAGUAACGCGUAGGUAACCUGCCUUGUAGCGGGGGAUAACUAUUGGAAACGAUAGCUAAUACCGCAUAACAAUGGAUGACACAUGUCAUUUAUUUGAGAGGGGCAAUUGCUCCACUACAAGAUGGACCUGCGUUGUAUUAGCUAGUAGGUGAGGUAACGGCUCACCUAGGCGACGAUACAUAGCCGACCUGAGAGGGUGAUCGGCCACACUGGGACUGAGACACGGCCCAGACUCCUACGGGAGGCAGCAGUAGGGAAUCUUCGGCAAUGGGGGCAACCCUGACCGAGCAACGCCGCGUGAGUGAAGAAGGUUUUCGGAUCGUAAAGCUCUGUUGUAAGUCAAGAACGAGUGUGAGAGUGGAAAGUUCACACUGUGACGGUAGCUUACCAGAAAGGGACGGCUAACUACGUGCCAGCAGCCGCGGUAAUACGUAGGUCCCGAGCGUUGUCCGGAUUUAUUGGGCGUAAAGCGAGCGCAGGCGGUUUGAUAAGUCUGAAGUUAAAGGCUGUGGCUCAACCAUAGUUCGCUUUGGAAACUGUCAAACUUGAGUGCAGAAGGGGAGAGUGGAAUUCCAUGUGUAGCGGUGAAAUGCGUAGAUAUAUGGAGGAACACCGGUGGCGAAAGCGGCUCUCUGGUCUGUAACUGACGCUGAGGCUCGAAAGCGUGGGGAGCGAACAGAAUUAGAUACCCUGGUAGUCCACGCCGUAAACGAUCCCUAAAAGGUGUGGGAUCCUUUCCGGGAUUCAGUGCGCCAGCUAACGCAUUAAGCACUCCGCCUGGGGAGUACGACCGCAAGGUGGAAACUCAGAGGAAUUGACGGGGGCCCGCACAAGCGGUGGAGCAUGUGGUUUAAUUCGAAGCAACGCGAAGAACCUUACCAGGUCUUGACAUCCCGAUGCUAUUUCUAGAGAUAGAAAGUUACUUCGGUACAUCGGUGACAGGUGGUGCAUGGUUGUCGUCAGCUCGUGUCGUGAGAUGUUGGGUUAAGUCCCGCAACGAGCGCAACCCCUAUUGUUAGUUGCCAUCAUUCAGUUGGGCACUCUAGCGAGACUGCCGGUAAUAAACCGGAGGAAGGUGGGGAUGACGUCAAAUCAUCAUGCCCCUUAUGACCUGGGCUACACACGUGCUACAAUGGUUGGUACAACGAGUUGCGAGUCGGUGACGGCAAGCUAAUCUCUUAAAGCCAAUCUCAGUUCGGAUUGUAGGCUGCAACUCGCCUACAUGAAGUCGGAAUCGCUAGUAAUCGCGGAUCAGCACGCCGCGGUGAAUACGUUCCCGGGCCUUGUAC